AGUGGAUGGGGAGCAACCUAGUUGUGAGUGCGGAAAGGUAGUGCCAAGAAAAGCUGUCAGAAUGAUGAGAAUUGAGUCCCGGUACCCGAAACCGACACAGGUAGGCAAGUAGAGAAUACUAAGGGGCGCGAGGUAACUCUCUCCAAGGAACUCGGCAAAAUGACCCCGUAGCUUAGGGAGAAGGGGUGCCACCGAGAGGUGGUCGCAGUGAAGAGGCCCAGGCGACUGUUUAGCAAAACAUAGGUCUCUGCAAACUCGAAAGAGGAAGUAUAGGGGCUGACGCCUGCCCAGUGCCGGAAGGUUAAAGAAGUUGGUCAGGAGAAAUCUGAAGCUGGCGACUGAAGCCCCGGUGAACGGCGGCCGUAACUAUAACGGUCCUAAGGUAGCGAAAUUCCUUGUCGGGUAAGUUCCGACCCGCACGAAAGGCGUAACGAUCUGGGCGCUGUCUCGGAGAGAGGCUCGGCGAAAUAGGAUUGUCUGUGAAGAUACGGACUACCUGCAUUUGGACAGAAAGACCCUAUGAAGCUUUACUGUAGCUUGAAAUUGUGUUCGGGCUUCCUGUGCGCAGGAUAGGUGGGAGGCUAGGAAGGUCUGCUUGUGGGCAGAUUGGAGCCAACCGUGAGAUACCACUCUCAGGAGGCUAGAAUUCUAACUUAACUAAGGACAGUUUCAGGUGGGCAGUUUGACUGGGGCGGUCGCCUCCAAAAAGGUAACGGAGGCGUACAAAGGUUCCCCCACACUGGUUGGAAAUCAGUGGCAGAGUGCAAAGGCAGAAGGGAGCUUGACUGCGAGACGGACAAGUCGAGCAGGGUGGAAACACGGUCUUAGUGAUCCGACGGUGCUGUGUGGAAGGGCCGUCGCUCAACGGAUAAAAGUUACUCUAGGAUAACAGGCUGAUCUCCCCCAAGAGUUCACAUCGACGGGGAGGUUUGGCACCUCGAUGUCGGCUCAUCGCAACCUGGGGCGGAAGUACGUCCCAAGGGUUGGGCUGUUCGCCCAUUAAAGCGGUACGUGAGCUGGGUUCAGAGCGUCGUGAGACAGUUCGGUCCAUAUCCGAUGUAGGCGUGAGAAUAUUGAGAGGAGCCUUCCUUAGUACGAGAGGACCGGGAAGGACGCACCGCUGGUGUACCUGUUAUGAUGCCAAUCGUAAACGCAGGGUAGCCAAGUGCGGAGAGGAUAACCGCUGAAAGCAUCUAAGUGGGAAGCCCACCUCAAGAUGAGUAUUCUGGUGUAAGGUCACGGGGAGACGACCCGUAGAUAGGCACGAGGUGGAAGUGCAGAGGUGUAUGAAGCCGAAGUGUAGUAAUAGACCGUCGGCUUGACC
rnacentral:rRNA from 1 species